CAGGUAGAUUAAGCUUAAAAUAUAAGAUAUCCCAGUGGAGAUGAAAAAUAGGUAACUGGAUAUAUGAAACUGAAUUUGAGUUGUUCAGAAGUCACCUAUGAAGUUAAGCCUCUUAUGUGGAUUAAGUCAAUGGCAAUAUUGAUUUGGGCUUUUUAUGAGCUACCAAUUCUAGUUAUCAUAACCUUUCAAGGAAGAAAAAAAAAUCCCCUAGAAGAUUAGAAACUCUCCCAUCGUUACUAUGUCUACCUGUCAACACCUUAUUCAAAGUGAUGAAUGACUAAUCAGAACUAAAUGGAUUAGCCUUCCCAGAAGAAGUUAACUUUAACAGAGGUCAUUUGGAAACUCAGCAUCCUUGACUAAAGGGCCUUCCAGGUGGAUGUCUCAGAUCUCUCG